UUUUGUGCAUUAAACUUGCAACACACUGAAAUUAAACCAGCAGCACAUACGAUUUUUUAUGCAUAUGUUUAAUAUUUGUAGGUGGAGACUGUCCUUUCAAAUUAUGUCUUUGUGCUUUGUGCUUUUGUACUGAUGUUGGAAUAAUUUCAAGGUGUUGCAACACAAGCCAUUCUGGCACUUUUUAGUAUGUUUUUGUUCAACCAACACACAUUAUGUAUCAUUUUUAAGUGACAGAUAGUGAUCUCUACUAAAACAGAAAUUUUAUUAUUUGUUUAUCAAUAGUAU